rnacentral:rRNA from 1 species
GAUGAACGCUGACAGAAUGCUUAACACAUGCAAGUCAACUUGAAUUUGGGUUUUUAACUUAGGUUUGGGUGGCGGACGGGUGAGUAACGCGUAAAGAACUUGCCUCACAGCUAGGGACAACAUUUGGAAACGAAUGCUAAUACCUAAUAUUAUGAUAAUAGGGCAUCCUAUAAUUAUGAAAGCUAUAAGCGCUGUGAGAGAGCUUUGCGUCCCAUUAGCUAGUUGGAGAGGUAACGGCUCACCAAGGCGAUGAUGGGUAGCCGGCCUGAGAGGGUGAUCGGCCACAAGGGGACUGAAACACGGCCCUUACUCCUACGGGAGGCAGCAGUGGGGAAUAUUGGACAAUGGACCAAGAGUCUGAUCCAGCAAUUCUGUGUGCACGAUGAAGUUUUUCGGAAUGUAAAGUGCUUUCAGUUGGGAAGAAAGAAAUGACGGUACCAACAGAAGAAGUGAUGGCUAAAUACGUGCCAGCAGCCGCGGUAAUACGUAUGUCACGAGCGUUAUCCGGAUUUAUUGGGCGUAAAGCGCGUCUAGGUGGUUAUAUAAGUCUGAUGUGAAAAUGCAGGGCUCAACUCUGUAUUGCGUUGGAAACUGUAUAACUAGAGUACUGGAGAGGUAAGCGGAACUACAAGUGUAGAGGUGAAAUUCGUAGAUAUUUGUAGGAAUGCCGAUGGGGAAGCCAGCUUACUGGACAGAUACUGACGCUGAAGCGCGAAAGCGUGGGUAGCAAACAGG